rnacentral:rRNA from 1 species
AGUGAACGCUGGCGGCAGGCCUAAUACAUGCAAGUCGAACGAAAGCACAGUAAGCGCUCGCCCUUACGGGUAGCGAGUGGCGGACGGGUGAGGCGUACAUCGGAAUCCUAUUUUUCGUGGGGAAUAUCGUGGGAACACUUACGCUACUACAGAAUACGUUCUACGGGUGAAUGCAGGGGUUCUUCGGACUUUGCGCGAUUCUUUUAGAUGGUGUCGGAUUAGCUAGUUGGCGUGGUAAAGGCACACCAAGGCGACGAUCCGUAGCUGAUCUGAGAGGAUGAUCAGCCACACUGGAACUGAGACACGGUCCAGACUCCUACGGGAGGCAGCAGUAGGGAAUAUUGGGCAAUGGGCGCAAGCCUGAUCCAGCAAUGCCGCGUGGGUGAAGAAGGUCUUCGGAUUGUAAAACCCUUUUAUUAGGAAAGAAAAGCAGCGGGUGAAUAUCCCGCUGUUCUGACGGUACCCAAACAGAAAGCACCGGCUAACUUCGUG